rnacentral:rRNA from 1 species
AGUUCGAUCCUGGCCGUUGAACGCUGGCGGGAUGCCUUACACGUGCAAGUCGAACGGCAGCACGGACUUCGGUCUGGUGUGAUGGCGGAACGGGUGAGUAAUGUAUCGGAACGUUGCCCAGUAGCGAGGGAUAACUACGCGAAAGCGUAGCUAAUACCACAUACGCCCUGCAGGGAGAAAGCGGGGAUCACCGGGCAACGCACUGCCCGGAGCGGCCGAUAUCCAGUUAGCUAGUUGGUGGAAUGCAACGGCUCACCGGGCGACGAUCCGUAGCUGGUUUGAGGACGACCGGCGCUGGGACUGAGACACGGCCAGACUCCUACGGGAGGCAGCAGUGGGGAAUUUUGGACAAUGGGGAAACCUGAUCCAGCCAUCCCGCGUGUGCGAUGAAGGCCUUCGGGUUGUAAAGCACUUUUUGGCAGGAAAGAAACGUCGUGGGUUAAUACCCCGCGAAACUGACAGUACCUGCAGAAUAAGCACCGGCUAACUACGUGGCAAGCCGCGGUAAUACGUAGGGUGCAAGCGUUAAUCGAUUACUGGGCGUAAAGCGUGCGCAGGCCGGUUCGGAAAGAAAGAUGUGAAAUCCAGAGCUUAACUGAACUGCAUUUUUAACUACCGGGCUAGAGUGUGUCAGGGGUGGAAUUCCGCGUGUAGUGGUAAAUGCGUGAAUAUGCCAGGAGGAGCAUAGAUGGCGGAGGCAGCCUCCUGGAUAACACUGACGCUCAUGCACGAAAGCGUGGGGAGCAAACAGGAUUGAUACCCUGGUAGUCCACGCCCUAAACGAUGUCAACUAGCUGUUGGGGCCUUCGGGCCUUGGUAGCGCAGCUAACGCGUGAAGUUGACCGCCUGGGGAGAGUACAGUCGCAGAUUAAAACUCAAAGGAAUUGUGGGGACGCACAAGCUGGAUGAUGUGGAUUAAUUCGAUGCAACGCGAAAACCUUACUACCCCGCUUAACGUGGAAUGCCGAAGAGAUUUGGCAGUGCUCGCAAGAGAACCCGGAACACAGGUGCUGCAUAGCUGUCGUCAGCUCGUGUCGUGAGAUGACUACGGAUUCGUCACAACGAGCGCAACCCUUGUAUAUUAGUUGCUACGAAAGGGCACUCAAUGAACUACCGGUGACAAACCGGAGGAAGGUGGGGAUGACGUCGAAGUCCUCAUGGCCCUUAUGGGUAGGGCUUCACGUCAUACAAUGGUCGGGACAGAGGGUCGCCAACCCGCGAGGGGGCCAAUCGAAGCGAUCGUAGUCCGGAUCGCAGUCUGCAACUCGACUGCGUGAAGU